rnacentral:rRNA from 1 species
UACCCUGGUAGUCCACGCCGUAAACGAUGUCGACCAGCCGUUGGGUGCCUAGCGCACUUUGUGGCGAAGUUAACGCGAUAAGUCGACCGCCUGGGGAGUACGGCCGCAAGGUUAAAACUCAAAUGAAUUGACGGGGGCCCGCACAAGCGGUGGAGCAUGUGGUUUAAUUCGAUGCAACGCGAAGAACCUUACCUACUCUUGACAUCCAGCGAAGCCUUUAGAGAUAGAGGCGUGCCUUCGGGAGCGCUGAGACAGGUGCUGCAUGGCUGUCGUCAGCUCGUGUUGUGAAAUGUUGGGUUAAGUCCCGCAACGAGCGCAACCCUUAUCCUUGUUUGCCAGCACAUAAUGGUGGGAACUCCAGGGAGACUGCCGGUGAUAAACCGGAGGAAGGUGGGGACGACGUCAAGUCAUCAUGGCCCUUACGAGUAGGGCUACACACGUGCUACAAUGGCAGAUACAGAGGGCAGCGAGACAGCGAUGUUUAGCGAAUCCCUUAAAGUUUGUCGUAGUCCGGAUUGGAGUCUGCAACUCGACUCCAUGAAGUCGGAAUCGCUAGUAAUCGUGGAUCAGAAUGCCACGGUGAAUACGUUCCCGGGCCUUGCACACACCGCCCGU